rnacentral:rRNA from 1 species
AAAACGACUCUCGGCAACGGAUAUCUAGGCUCUCGCAUCGAUGAAGAACGUAGCGAAAUGCGAUACUUGGUGUGAAUUGCAGAAUCCCGCGAAUCAUCGAGUUUUUGAACGCAAGUUGCGCCCGAAGCCUUUUGGCCGAGGGCACGUCUGCCUGGGUGUCACGC